AACAGACCCUGUUUGCAUAGACACACCUACUCUGCCUAGAAACCUCCCUUGUGUUUCAGACUGUGCAGUGACGCCCUCCCUACCCCAGGCCUCUGGAGCCUUUGGAGCAGAAAGAUCCCAGGAGCUGAGGAGGAAUCCAGGGG